rnacentral:rRNA from 1 species
GGGGAAAAGAACUUCGCAUGGACGAAGUCUGACGGAGCAACGCCGCGUGAGUGAUGAAGGUUUUCGGAUCGUAAAGCUCUGUUGUUAGGGAAGAACAAGUGCAAGAGUAACUGCUUGCACCUUGACGGUACCUAACCAGAAAGCCACGGCUAACUACGUGCCAGCAGCCGCGGUAAUACGUAGGUGGCAAGCGUUGUCCGGAAUUAUUGGGCGUAAAGGGCUCGCAGGCGGUUUCUUAAGUCUGAUGUGAAAGCCCCCGGCUCAACCGGGGAGGGUCAUUGGAAACUGGGAAACUUGAGUGCAGAAGAGGAGAGUGGAAUUCCACGUGUAGCGGUGAAAUGCGUAGAGAUGUGGAGGAACACCAGUGGCGAAGGCGACUCUCUGGUCUGUAACUGACGCUGAGGAGCGAAAGCGUGGGGAGCGAACAGGAUUAGAUACCCUGGUAGUCCACGCCGUAAACGAUGAGUGCUAAGUGUUAGGGGGUUUCCGCCCCUUAGUGCUGCAGCUAACGCAUUAAGCACUCCGCCUGGGGAGUACGGUCGCAAGACUGAAACUCAAAGGAAUUGACGGGGGCCCGCACAAGCGGUGGAGCAUGUGGUUUAAUUCGAAGCAACGCGAAGAACCUUA